AUGUUCACUUUGGCAGCAUGUAUACUAAAAUUGGAACAGUGCAGGGAAGAUUAACAUGGCCCCUGUACAAGGAUGACGUGCAGAUUCACAUAGCGUUCCAUAUUUUU